rnacentral:rRNA from 1 species
GAUGAACGCUGGCGGCGUGCCUAAUACAUGCAAGUAGAACGCUGAAGGAAGGAGCUUGCUCUUUCCGGAUGAGUUGCGAACGGGUGAGUAACGCGUAGGUAACCUGCCUGGUAGCGGGGGAUAACUAUUGGAAACGAUAGCUAAUACCGCAUAACAGUAGAUGUUGCAUGAUAUCUACUUAAAAGGUGCAAUUGCACCACUACCAGAUGGACCUGCGUUGUAUUAGCUAGUUGGUGAGGUAACGGCUCACCAAGGCGACGAUACAUAGCCGACCUGAGAGGGUGAUCGGCCACACUGGGACUGAGAAACGGCCCAGACUCCUACGGGAGGCAGCAGUAGGGAAUCUUCGGCAAAGGACGGAAGUCUGACCGAGCAACGCCGCGUGAGUGAAGAAGGUUUUCGGAUCGUAAAGCUCUGUUGUAAGAGAAGAACGAGUGUGAGAGUGGAAAGUUCACACUGUGACGGUAUCUUACCAGAAAGGGACGGCUAACUACGUG